GAUGAAGAACGCAGCGAAAUGCGAUAAGUAAUGUGAAUUGCAGAAUUCAGUGAAUCAUCGAAUCUUUGAACGCACAUUGCGCCCGCUGGUAUUCCGGCGGGCAUGCCUGUUCGAGCGUCAUUUCAACCCUCAAACCCCCCGGGUUUGGUGUUGGGGAUCGGCUCUGCCUCACGGCGGUGCCGCCCCCGAAAUACAUUGGCGGUCUCGCUGCAGCCUCCAUUGCGUAGUAGCUAACACCUCGCAACUGGAACGCGGCGCGGCCAUGCCGUAAAACCCCAACCUCUGAAUGUUGACCUCGGAUCAGGUAGGAAUACCCGCUGAACUUAAGCAUAUCAAUAAGCGGAGGA
rnacentral:misc_RNA from 1 species